UCCAACUUGAAAGAAGACGACCGCAACGGGUUUGAUCCUUGGAGCUCUUGAACCCUAAACUCUCUCUCUCUCUCUCUCUCUCUGUGUUCCCCGUUCGGUUCGGCCGCCCCAACCUUUGGCUUCUCCAUAAAUGGUGGUGGCUGACACUGAAGAAUACAUUGAUGGACUAUUCACUGGAAACAUGGGGGAACCCUCUCCUCAAGUAACUUGGACAAAUAUACAUGCAGUUAAUUGUUUAUACUCAUCUAAAGCUCGUGCUCGAAUCAAAGAGGAACCAUAUCAUCAUCCAGCAAGAAGAAAGAGGCAAGUAAUUGAAAUUGAACGUCAUUGAUAUCCAAACCCAAUGCGGAGACCUUUCAAGCACCCAUUACAUUUGUGCCUAAAGAGAACCCUUUUUGAAUCAAUUCAGAGUACCCAAGGCAAUGGUCUUCAUUACAAGCCCAAUUAUCACACUUGCUAGUGUUCUAGCAGCUUACGAAGGAUGUUUCAGUGCGUCCUCUGAUUCCGCAGGCGAAGCUGUGGAUGCAUCUGCAUCCUUUUCAUCAUUUGCACUUCCUGUCGGACCCUGUGCUGCAGCAGUAGCCUUUGGAGCUGCUACAUGUGGUGCUGUCACUGGCUUCUGAACAGGCGCCUCCUUUGGCGUGGCAGCAGCUGGUGUAGCUGAUACCGGUGUUAAACUCUUGAUGCUGGGUGGAACGAUGACAGUGCUAAUCUGAAGCACUGAGAUGUCAUAAGCUGUGCUGCGACCACCUUGAGCACAUUGGAGUUGAGGGGUGCCCUGGUGGCAGCUGAGCCGAACACCAUCUGCAUGCUGGGCAGCUUGGUAUAGUCCAAGAACCCCAUCUGGUUGGUGGCUAGGCCAGAGGCCUGGAAGAGUGUGGGUAGGAGGGCAGUGUUGUUGGGAAGCUGGUCGAGUUUGUAGGGAUCAUAGUAGUCAAGGAUUACAAGGACGGAGAUGACCUUCUUAAGGAUGUCGGCCGAUAGAGAGGACAGAGGAGAGAUGGCGGAAUUAUCGAUGGCAAGGAUGGUGAUGGUCUUUGGCGAUUGAUCUCAUCGGCCACCUUCGUCUGAGUGAGAUACUUGGUGAAGGUGGAGAAUUCAUCGAAUGGUUCGGGAAUCUCAACAAUGUCUAAGGUGAUGACCGAGGAGACAAGGAAGAGAAGAGGGAGAAAGAUGAGAAAGACAUGGGCUUUGGGGUUCAUUUUGGAUAUGGGUUUGGCUUGGUCAGCCCCCCACAAUGGGAGGAGAGGAAGGGAUGAUCACGGGGAGUAAGAAUAUAUAUAGGAAAAGGAAGCUGAGGGGGGUUUGCUAAACUUGAAGAUGUUCUUCCUCCAAAAUUAUAGAGGAAGAGGGUUUUGUGGAUGCUUUUGGACCAUCAAAUGGAAUGGGAUGGUUGAGCAGGAUAGAUGAGUGGAAAUCUUCUUUAACAAGUUUGACUUGGUCCUUCCCUCCAUGUACAUAUAUAUAUAUAUUUAGGUUUGGUGAAACUGGCUUUACUGUUAUUAGAUCCAAGGCCUUAUCUGAGUUUGAGAUGACCUCUUGUAGGGGUGAUUCCAUGAUGCACAUGGAUUACUUGUAUUUUUUUAAAGUACUUAUAAUGUGUUAUUGUGCAAUUUUAUUUAAAUUAUAUGGUAAAUAUGUGAUAGUUGAAGAAAAUGUACUUAAUGCUCAUUUGAAACAUUCUUUUCAUCAUA